rnacentral:lncRNA from 12 species
CAACAGUUGGUCGUGCCAGGGGUUGUCACAACUAAGGAGGUGCCCCUGGCAUCUAGUGGGCAGAGCUUGGGGAUGUUGCUAAAGAUCCUAUGAUGCACAGAACAGCCCCCUCGACUGCCCUGACAGGUACACAGCCCAGAUGUCAAUAGCUUCAAGUUGGAGAGACCCCAGCUCAGAAUUGACAUUUCAUCUUGGAGAUUUAAAAGAGGCCAAUUGCUUUUGAAAUUAAAAUGUUAGUUCCUCCUAGAUACUAUGGAGUCCUUCAAGAGGUGAGUACCUGUCCCUGUUAUCAUGGCCACACGCGGAGAAGGAAAUUGAGAUCCCAGAGAUAGGUAAUUCUUGGAGUUCUGAGUUUUCUAGUUCCAAAUCAGAAAGAUAUGAAUCUUCAUCAAUCUCAAAGAGGUCUUGUGAGAAAAGCCAGUUGUCUUUGUGUCUCAGAAUUGAAUGCAACCCACCGGGCUUCGCCUCUGGUUCCCUCCCUUUUCUGCACUGCACAACACUGACUGCUAUACACAGUGUACUCUGUAAAGCCGCGAUUGUGUGAGGCCGGUGCUCACUUGGAGUGUUGGACCAAAAUAAGCAGUUCUUAAGCUGUGUCCCCACAGGACACUGUAUGACGUAGACUGGCUCAAGAUUUGGUUCCAUCUGCUGAGUGAAGUAAGUCAAUCGGAGAAGGACAAACAUUGUAUGUUCUCAUUCAUUUGGGGAAUAUAAAUAAUAGUGAAAGGGAAUAUAAGGGAAGGGAGAAGAAAUGUGUGGGAAAUAUCAGAGAGGGAGACAGAACAUAAAGACUCCUAACUCUGGGAAACGAACUAGGGGUGAUGGAAGGGGAGGAGGGCAGGGGGUGGGGGUGAAUGGGUGACGGGCACUGAGGGGGGCACUUGACAGGAUGAGCACUGGGUGUUAUUCUGUAUGUUGGUAAAUCGAACACCAAUAAAAAUAAAUUU